AAAUGGAACAUAAGUUUACUUUGUUUUUAUGCGUUCCCAUAGCAUUUUUAAAAGUUGGGAUUCCAUAGAUAGCAUAUACAUGUAUUUAUGAUUAAUAAAUGAAUAAUAAUUAUUGACAGGAAUUAAAGUUUGUGAGUAAUUAAAUGAUACGAGAUCCAGAUAUAGACAUUUAUUUGUUUGGGGAUAUGUGAAAAAUAUGUGGAAAUGUCAAACAAACAAGUUAUUGUGAGUGCAACAAUAUGAUUGUGCAAGCAUUCGUACUAUUAUCACUGAUCAGUGUUAAAGUACUUGGGAUAACACAACCAUGCUACGAGACAUACCUUGCCAAGAAUGGCCACCAGUGUCUCCAAUGAGAUGCGGGAUAUCAUAAAGUGUCUGACUGUAUUAUAGACGGCACACAGUCUGAAUGUAGGCGUUGUAUGAAUGGGACGUACAUGCCAAGUUGUAGCACUGCUACGAGGUGUAAAACCUGUCGGUUGGAUUGUCCUGAUAAAAAUCAGGUCAAAGUAAAGAAUUGCAAGGCCGUUAGUGAUAUAGAGUGCCAGUGUAAAAUCGGAUACUUCUGGAAACCUAUUGUGAUUGGUCCAAAUCACGGACAAUGCAAGCCAUAUCAAAAGUGCAAAGAAGGCCAUGGAGUUGUAGAAAAGGGUACACCAUCCGCCGAUACUAAGUGUUUGCCAUGUGAAAAUGGCUUGACAUACUCCAACAGUUCGUCCUUUGACUCCUGCAUUCCGUUCUCGUCUUGCAACACCUUUAUAGAGACACAGUGCACAGCUUUUAAUGAUACUGUUUGUGGAGAACAGCAGCCCAAACCACAAAAAC